GCUUACGGCCAUACCACCCUGAGCAUGCCCGAUCUCGUCUGAUCUCGGAUGCUAAGCUGGGUCGGGCCUGGAUAGUACUUGGAUGGGAGACCUCCUCAGAAGCCCAGGUUGCUGUAAGUA